GGCGAACGGGUGAGUAACACGUGGGUGAUCUGCCUUGCACUCUGGGAUAAGCCUGGGAAACUGGGUCUAAUACCGGAUAUGACCUUCGGUUGCAUGACCGGGGGUGGAAAGAUUUAUCGGUGCAAGAUGAGCCCGCGGCCUAUCAGCUUGUUGGUGGGGUAAUGGCCUACCAAGGCGACGACGGGUAGCCGGCCUGAGAGGGCGACCGGCCACACUGGGACUGAGACACGGCCCAGACUCCUACGGGAGGCAGCAGUGGGGAAUAUUGCACAAUGGGCGGAAGCCUGAUGCAGCGACGCCGCGUGAGGGAUGACGGCCUUCGGGUUGUAAACCUCUUUCGACUCCGACGAAGCGAGAGUGACGGUAGGAGUAUAAGAAGCACCGGCCAAGUACGU
rnacentral:rRNA from 1 species